AUUGAAUUCGUGCUCCUUCCCGGCACCGGACCUCAAUUGUGCUUUUGUGACAGAAGAUCGACAAACAACUGCUGGGUACUUUUACAGGGCUCUCCUGGACCCAGAUCAGCGCCGCCAGGACUAUACACACUUUCCCUCGUGCUGCACUUGAGAGAGCCACAACGUAAACAAUACGGAGGCCCUUACUUACUCCACACCACUUGCACAUUGAUGCUGCUCAGGUGGCAUGUACUGCAGGGUCUUGCCGCUGAGUCCGCCUUGCCUCAGCUUCGCCGGCACACACGUUGUCAUCCUGACGUCGCACUCUCUU